AUUUGACAGUCGAUUUGCUGACAGGGGAGGAAUUUGCAUCCUGGAUUAAAAAAAAAAAAAAAAAAAGGCCGAGAGGAGCUUGGGAACGGUUGCUAGGGGUGGGUAAUGGGUGAAAAAAGGGGGGCGCCGGGGAGCGGAUAAGGAGGGUUAAGGGAGGGGGCGAGGGUGGGGAGCAAUGCAAAAGGUAAGGCCAGGUUACCGCGGCUCGGCCCCGAGUGGGCUGCGGCCGGGGGAGGGGCGAGAGAUACAUAUGUAUUUCUGUCUCCCUAGCACACCCCCUUCCCUCUAAGCGAUGGCUGAGAGGCGGUGCAUGCAGAUGGGGAGUAAGUUUCCUGAAGGGGAGGGUGGAUGCACGCGCGCGGCCCCGCGCUGCAAAUUUCCACCGGGGAGGGAGAGUGGCUGGAUGCAGAGAGUUUGGAGUUGCUUGCGGCGGAGGGCAGGAAGGGGAGCAGGGCCGGGAAAGGGGGCUGGCGGGCGCUAUAUCUGGGAGUAAGUUUCCAGGAUCGGGAGAGCCUGCACGCUUGCUCGCUACUCUGCUCGCCCCUCAUCUCACCCCCCAGGCGAAGACUGGUCUUCUUGUCGGAUUGCCUAUGCACUUGUUGCAGAAACAGCCAAGAACCAGGCCUCCUCUCCCCACCUGCCCAGCAGCAUGAGAGCAGCAUGACUGGCCGGCCGCAGGAGAAGCCCCCAGAGCCAGGCCCCCAUCUCAACCAGCUGCUGCAGAAGUCAAGGUGUGAGCAGCAUUUCUUCACCACGGUGGCAUUUGGUCCGUCCCUUAGCCCGGGUGAGGAUGUAAAACCCCUCGCUCUGCACAUGCAUGGUAGAGGCCAACAGGAACACCUGGCUGCAGCCACGGUCACGGACAUGUCAGCCGUGGAGUAGUGUGGACGCUUUCUCUCUGCUUCUCAGGGUUUCAGUCCUUUCGGGUUUGUGUCAUUGACCUUUUUGUAUGGUUUUGUGGCUGGACAU
ensembl:lncRNA